rnacentral:rRNA from 1 species
GACAGAGGCCUCGAGCGUUAGGCGGAAUCACUGGGCUUAAAGCGUGUGUAGGCGGCUCGUUAAGUACCUUGUGAAAUCCCACGGCUCAACCGUGGAACGGCUGGGUAUACUGGCGGUCUUGGGCCAUUCAGGGGCGACUGGAACAAGCGGUGGAGCGGUGAAAUGCGUAGAUAUCGCUUGGAACGCCGAAGGUGAAAACAGGUCGCUGGGGAUGUGCCGACGCUGAGACACGAAAGCCAGGGGAGCAAACGGG